rnacentral:lncRNA from 1 species
AGAAGGCCUGCCUUUCUUAUUCCUCCUCCAACUUAUUUAUUCCUGCAGGGAAAUUUCUGCUGCAGAUUCCCCGAAGGGACGGCUCCCAAGGACUCAUCACCCAUCCCAUUUACCCAGUGAUUACUACAGGGGACAACAGGAGAUUGAGGGAGCAAGUCAACGGGCUGCGGAGGCCACCAAGCCACUGGGAAGCCCUGAGAAGAGCAGGUUUUAAGAAGGAGAACGAACCGUGAUUUCAAGCAGCCACUAGAUGCCAGGCGGGACCGUGGAUCAUCACAGACAGUU